UACGGGGGGGGCAAGCGUUGUUCGGAAUUACUGGGCGUAAAGGCUCGUAGGCGGCCAACUAAGUCAGACGUGAAAUCCCUCGGCUUAACCGGGGAACUGCAUCUGAUACUGGAUGGCUUGAGUUCGGGAGAGGGAUGCGGAAUUCCAGGUGUAGCGGUGAAAAUGCGUAGAUAUCUGGAGGAACACCGGUGGCGAAGGCGGGGUCUCUGGGGCCAACAACUGACGCUGAGGAGCGAAAGCGUGGGG
rnacentral:rRNA from 1 species